rnacentral:rRNA from 1 species
UACAGAGGUCUCAAGCGUUGUUCGGAUUCAUUGGGCGUAAAGGGUGUGUAGGUGGCGCGCUAAGUCGGGUGUGAAAUUUCGGAGCUUAACUCCGAAACUGCAUUCGAUACUGGCGUGCUUGAGGACUGGAGAGGAGGACUGGAAUUCAUGGUGUAGCAGUGAAAUGCGUAGAGAUCAUGAGGAAGACCAGUGGCGAAGGCGGGUCGCUCGGACAGUUCCUGACACUGAGACACGAAAGGCCAGGGGAGGCAAAACGGG